UGUGCCCCCACUCUGCUAUCUGGGCAGCUACUGCCUGGAAGAUGUUUUCAGUGUGGUGGCCUACUUUGAACUGUCAAAGCAUAUUUGGGCCCCGGAGGG